rnacentral:rRNA from 1 species
GACGAACGCUGGCGGCGUGCCUAAUACAUGCAAGUAGAACGCUGAAGGAGGAGCUUGCUUCUCUGGAUGAGUUGCGAACGGGUGAGUAACGCGUAGGUAACCUGCCUGGUAGCGGGGGAUAACUAUUGGAAACGAUAGCUAAUACCGCAUAAGAGUAGAUGUUGCAUGACAUUUGCUUAAAAGGUGCAAUUGCAUCACUACCAGAUGGACCUGCGUUGUAUUAGCUAGUUGGUGGGGUAACGGCUCACCAAGGCGACGAUACAUAGCCGACCUGAGAGGGGGAGCGGCCACACUGGGACUGAGACACGGCCCAGACUCCUACGGGAGGCAGCAGUAGGGAAUCUUCGGCAAUGGACGGAAGUCUGACCGAGCAACGCCGCGUGAGUGAAGAAGGUUUUCGGAUCGUAAAGCUCGGUUGUAAGAGAAGAACGAGUGCGAGAGUGGAAAGUUCACACUGUGACGGUAUCUUACCAGAAAGGGACGGCUAACUACGUG